rnacentral:rRNA from 1 species
UACGGAGGGUGCGAGCGUUGUCCGGAAUCACUGGGCGUAAAGGGCGCGUAGGUGGCUUCUCAAGCGCGCGGUGAAAGCCCGGGGCUCAACCCCGGGUCGGCCGUGCGGACUGGGAGGCUCGAGCACUGUAGGGGCGGGUGGAAUUCCGGGUGUAGCGGUGGAAUGCGUAGAGAUCCGGAAGAACACCGGUGGCGAAGGCGGUCUGCUGGGCAGUUGCUGACACUGAGGCGCGACAGCGUGGGGAGCAAACAGG